GCCUAACACAUGCAAGUCGAAGGGCAGCAUGAGGUGUAGCAAUACACCUUGAUGGCGAGUGGCGGACGGGUGAGGAAUGCAUCGGAAUCUGGCCAGUCGUGGGGGAUAACCCGGGGAAUCCCGGACUAAUACCGCAUACGACCUUCGGGUGAAAGCCGGGGUCCCUUCGGGGCCUCGCGCGAUUGGAUGAGCCGAUGCCGGAUUAGCUUGUUGGCGGGGUAAGGGCCCACCAAGGCGACGAUCCGUAGCUGGUCUAAGAGGAUGAUCAGCCACACUGGGACUGAGACACGGCCCAGACUCCUACGGGAGGCAGCAGUGGGCAAUAUUGGACAAUCGGGGGAACCCUGAUCCAGCAAUCCCGCGUGUGUGAAUAAGGCCUUCGGGUUGUAAAGCGCCUUUAUCGGGAACGAAACAUUGUCGGCCAAUACCCGGGAAGACUGACGGUACCCCAGGAAUAAGCACCGGCUAACGCCGUGCCAGCAGCCGCGGUAAAACGGAGGGUGCAAGCGUUAAUAGGAAUUACUGGGCGCAAAGCGUGCGCAGGCGGUUAGUUAAGUCUGUUGUGAAAUCCCCGAGCUCAACUUGGGAAUUGCAAUGCAUACUGGCAGGCUGGAGUAUGGUUGAGGAAGGUGGAAUUCCCGGUGUAGCAGUGAAGUGCGUAGAGAUCGGGUGGAACACCAGUGGCGAAGGCGCCUUCUAGAGCCAGUACUGACGCUCAUGCACGAAAGCGUGGGAGCAAACAGGAUUAGAUACCCUGGUUGUCCACGCCCUAAACGAUGCGAACUGGAUGUGGGUACAUUACGGUACUCAGUGUCGAAGCUAACGCGUUAAGUUCGCCGCCUGGGGAGAACGGUCGCAAGACUGAAACUCAAAGGAAAUGACGGGGGCCCGCAUAAGCGGUGGAGUAUGUGGUUCAAUUCGAUGCAACGCGAAGAUCCUUACCUGGCCUUGACAUCUGUCGAAUCCUGCAGAGAAGCGGGAGUCCCGCAAGGAACGACAAGACAGGUGCCGCAUGGCUGUCGUCAGCUCGUGUGGUGAGAUGUUGGGUUAAGUCACGCAACGAGCGCAACCCUUGUCCUUAGUUGCCAGCACGUAAUGGUGGGAUCUCUAGGGAGACUGCCGGUGACAAACCGGAGGAAGGUGGGCAUGACGUCAAGUCCUCAUGGCCCUUACGGCCAGGGCAACACACGUACUACAAUGGUGGGUACAGAGGGUUGCGAAGCCGCUAGGCGAAGCCAAUCCCAGAAAACCGAUCCAAGUCCGGAUUGGAGUCUGCAACUCGACUCCAUCAAGUCGGAAUCGCUAGUAAUCGCGAAUCAGCAAUGUCGCGGUGAAUACGUUCCCGGGCCUUGUACACAACGCCCGUCACACCAUGGGAGUUGGCUGCUCCAGAAGCAGGUAGUCUAACCGCAAGGAGGACGCCUACCACGGUGUGGUCAAUGACUCGGGUGAAGUCGUAACAAGGUAGCCGUAUCGCAAGGUGCGGCUGGAUCACCACCUU
rnacentral:rRNA from 1 species